CCUACGGGAGGCAGCAGUGGGGAAUAUUGGACAAUGGGCGAAAGCCUGAUCCAGCCAUGCCGCGUGUGUGAAGAAGGCCUUCGGGUUGUAAAGCACUUUCAGUGGGGAAGAAAGUCUUGGGGCUAAUACCCUCGAGGAAGGACAUCACCCACAGAAGAAGCACCGGCUAACUCCGUGCCAGCAGCCGCGGUAAUACGGAGGGUGCGAGCGUUAAUCGGAAUUACUGGGCGUAAAGCGCGCGUAGGCGGUCUGAUAAGCCGGUUGUGAAAGCCCCGGGCUCAACCUGGGAACGGCAUCCGGAACUGGCAGGCUAGAGUGCAGGAGAGGAAGGUAGAAUUCCCGGUGUAGCGGUGAAAUGCGUAGAGAUCGGGAGGAAUACCAGUGGCGAAGGCGGCCUUCUGGACUGACACUGACGCUGAGGUGCGAAAGCGUGGGUAGCAAACAGGAUUAGAUACCCGUGUAGUC
rnacentral:rRNA from 1 species